rnacentral:lncRNA from 10 species
AGAGUGUGGACUUUGCUCAGAAGCACAGCAUCUGUGAAGCUUUCGGAAAUUAUCCCUCUGGCUCCAGCCCUUUCUAGAGAUCUCCACGCACAUCUCUGCAUGAAGGUUUCAGAGUCACUGGAUUUCCCAGGGCCUUCUCUUUGCUAGGAAUGUCUGAGACGCGCUCUGCAAGAUGAGUUGGCAGCAUCUCUGUGCCUCUGGUUUUGCCAGGCUCCACCAACAUCCCGCUAAGAACUCUUCACCCUCAAGGUAAAACCCAAACUCCUUAGCACAGUAUUCAAGGGCCUGCUUCCCUGCCUACCUGCCCGCCUGCCUACCUGCUUACUUGCUCACCUGCCUACCUGCUUACUUGCUCACCUGCUUACCCGCUUGCCCGCCAUACUUACCUGUCCAGCUCAUCUUCCCCGGCCCUCCUGCUGCUGUUCUGCGUGGGAACUGCCGCUCUCCCAUCUUCUCCAGCCAGCCCUCCUCUCUACUGCCGCAUCCGCGGCCCUUCACUGUCCUCACGACUGAUGCAUCCACCCUGGUCCACCUGCCCCAGAUGCUCCUUAGGGCAGCAGCCCCGCUGAAGCAUCUUCACAUUCCCAUAGAAAACUGUGGGAUGCCAGACAGGGACAAGCACCUCCAAGAUGAGGGGAUCAGAACUAGAAAUGAAAAGGGAUUUGUCGUUCAUCACCAAGAAAACCAACACGAGAGGCGGGAUUGGAACCCUGUCCCAUGGCAUCUGGGGUCGAUUUGUUUAGGGGGCCACGGGGCUUUUUCUCCCAUGUCCACCUUAGUGCACUGAGGGGAACCCCAGUGAAGGCCAAUGAGGGAAACCACACAUCACUGAGGGCCGACGGAGGCCCCCAAAGCUCAGAUCGCUGUGCUCGCCAGUAGGUCCCCAGACACCCUUAACACAGCUAUCUGCAGGAUUGAAUGAUUGCUGGGACCACACAAUUUACACUUGGCUCUCGUGGUCCGGAGGGGAGGACUGCGCCAGCAUGAGAAGACCAGAGAGCAAGUAAAUGGAAAUUUGGCGAGAUCCUGUGGCUGCUGUUGGUGGCUGCAGCCAGACAGGAAAACUGAGAUGGUGUGAGCAGAAAGGGCUGGAAGGAGUUGGCUUUUUCCAAGAAAUUACAGCGGAAUCUUCUUCCAAGAGGCUGGGGGCCUCUGCAGACAUGAUCUCAUUACUUACCCCCCAAAUCCCCCAGCUUCCCUACGGACCAAGGACCAGGGGUCUCUGCCCAGUCCUAGCUCCAAGGAAACUCACACUUGGCAGAUUUUCCUAAUCGGAGCUGGCCUUGAAGUUUGCUCACUGAUAAUCACCAGAAAGUCACCCCAACAAUGGGUGAUGCCAGAGUGUCCUCAAGCUUCAAGGGUCCGUAAAAACACUUGACUCCCCCAGGACAAAAAUGACUGGGGGAAACAUGCAGUUCUUCAAAGAGAAC